GGAAGUCCAGGUUCGGCCGCCGAACCUCAUGUUCGGCCGCCGAACCUUGCAUGCAUGCGGAGGCACAUUCGGCCCCCGAACGUGGUUUGGCCAGCCACUAUAAAAGGGUCCCUUAGCCGAAAACGGGCGAGUUUUUCCCCACUUUCGGCCAAGGUGAGCUUUCCGCCGCCCCUCACCCAUUUUUGAUGUUCUUCCUCUAAAUCUUUCAAGAUUUUCACUUGUUUUCCCUUGGUUUUGAAGAUUUAAGCUUUUGAAACAAGUUUUGGAGCUUGGAAGUCUUGGAGCUAAAUCCCUCCAUUUUCCGAGCUAGGGUCGUUCUUCCUCUCGAUCUUCAAGAGGUAAGCUUCGAUCUAUGCUUCUUUUAUGUUUUAUGAAAGUUUUAUGCAAGUUGAUGGGGUAGUAUGCAUGUUUAGGCUUGUUGUUAGGUUUAUGUUGUGUUUUGAACAAUGUAUGUUUGAAGUGUUGUAGUUGGGGUAUAUAAUAGUUUGAGACCCCUAGAUGUGAUGUAUGAUGUGUAUGCAUGUGUAGAAACAAGUUUAUGCAUGUUUUGAGGCGUUUUGGAGGCUAUGGACACAAGGGAGCCAAGUUUCUGCCCUUCGGCAGAAACUCAGGUUCGGCCGCCGAAGUGACUUUCGGCCGCCGAACCCCCUUGUGGAGGCAGUUUCGGCUGCCGAAGCCUGCCCCCGAAACUCAAGUUUCGUCUCUGUCUGGGAGGUUCGGCCGCCGAAAGUGCCACCGAACCUGCAUGACUUUCGGCUGCAGAGGGACUUUCGGCCGCUGAACCUGCCGCCGAAAGUGCCCUGUUCAGCCGUUUCUCGCAUGUUUUCAUGUGAUGUUUUCAGGAUGUUUUAGGGGGUUUUUGGGGAGUAUUUUAGAGUCAUGUUCAUGUAUGUUUAGUCCCUCAUUUGAGUCCACCUGUGUAGGUUCGGACCCGAGGAACCGAGACCCCCAGCAGUGAGCCAGCUGCUUCAGAGUCUCUUCAGAGCUAGCCAGAG
rnacentral:lncRNA from 1 species